rnacentral:rRNA from 1 species
AUUGAACGCUGGCGGCAGGCUUAACACAUGCAAGUCGAACGAGCGGCGGACGGGUGAGUAAUGUAGGGGGACUGCCCGAUAGAGGGGGAUAACUACUGGAAACGGUAGCUAAUACCGCAUACUAUCGGAUAACCCAUAUGGGAUUAGCUAGUUGGUGAGGUAAUGGCUCAACAAGGCGACGAUCCCUAGCUGGUGUGAGAGGAUGAUCAUCCACCCUGGGACUGUGACACGGCCCAGACUCCUACGGAGGCAGCAGUGGGGAAUAUUGCCCAAUGGGGCCAAGCCUGAUGCAGCCAUGCCGCGUGUAUGAAGAAGGCCCUAGGGUUGUAAAGUACUUUCAGUCGGGAGGCGUUACCGACAGAAGAAGCACCGGCUAACUCCGUGCCAGCAGCCGCGGUAAUUC